rnacentral:rRNA from 1 species
UACGUAGGGUGCGAGCGUUAAUCGGAAUUACUGGGCGUAAAGCGUGCGUAGGCGGUUUUUCAAGCUUGAUGUGAAAGCCCCGGGCUUAACCUGGGAAUGGCAUUGAGGACUGAGAGGCUAGAGUGCGGCAGAGGGAGGUGGAAUUCCACGUGUAGCAGUGAAAUGCGUAGAGAUGUGGAGGAACACCGAUGGCGAAGGCAGCCUCCUGGGCCGGUAUUGACGCUGAGGCGCGAAAGCUAGGGGAGCAAACGGG